rnacentral:rRNA from 1 species
GACGAACGCUGGCGGCGUGCUUAACACAUGCAAGUCGUACGGUAAGGCCCUUUCGGGGGUCCACGAGUGGCGAACGGGUGAGUAACACGUGAGUAACCUGCCCACAACUUUGGGAUAACGCUAGGAAACUGGUGCUAAUACUGGAUAUGUGCUCCUGCUGCAUGGUGGGGGUUGGAAAGCUCCGGCGGUUGUGGAUGGACUCGCGGCCUAUCAGCUUGUUGGUGGGGUAGUGGCCUACCAAGGCGGCGACGGGUAGCCGGCCUGAGAGGGUGACCGGCCACAUUGGGACUGAGAUACGGCCCGGACUCCUACGGGAGGCAGCAGUGGGGAAUAUUGAACAAUGGGCGCAAGCCUGAUGCAGCAACGCCGCGUGCGGGAUGACGGCCUUCGGGUUGUAAACCGCGUUCAGCAGGGACGAAGCUUUUUGUGACGGUACCUGCAGAAGAAGCACCGGCUAACUACGUG